rnacentral:lncRNA from 1 species
AAGUGGGAAAUUUCGGAAUCCUCCUUUCAUCAUGACGGUGAUCAUUUAGCGCCUGCUCCUCCUCCAACCCGUCGUGCUCCUCCGCCUCAAGAGCCUUCCCUCCAAUUCAUUUCCGACCAAAUUGCUUCAUUGACCUCUUCUUUCGGUCCAUUAACUCACGAGAUCCAUGGAUAUUUUGACCACGUUCAUUAUCCAUAUGCGGGUCUUGUUCCGUAUUAAGCAGCGCCG